rnacentral:lncRNA from 1 species
GGGAGGGAGGGCUGUGUGUGUGUGCGUAGCGUGCUCUAGGAAACAGCAGUUCUCCAGUAGAGACAGAAACAGAAACAGCAGCAACAGGUCGGGAAGAAUGUCACGACAACGAGCUGCCUGCCUUCCUGCUGCCUACCUCUUCUCUACCCAAUCACAUCUUCCGUCAACAGCACAUCGUCUAUCUCUCUCUAUCUCUCCUUUUCUCCCUCCCUCUCUCUCCUGCUCUCUCUCUUUCCCUCUCUCUCGCCCAUCUGUCUUUCGCUAUAACUCUCAUUCUCUUACACUCUCUCUCCCACUAUCUUCUCCCUCUCUCUCUCGCUCUCUCUCUGAUACCUCUCUCUUUCCAAUUUUCUCAUCUAUCCCCCUCUCCCACUAUCUUCUCUCUCCUCUCUCUCUCCCCCCCUCUUCCCCACCCCUCUCUCUCUUGCCACCUGCUGCUCAGUCAUACCCCAGGCAGAAAGAGGCUCGUGUUGGUAUCAUAUCGUAUGACAGGUCUGUGAGGAAUGAGGACUGCUCUGUCUUUUCUCCUCUCUGUUAUCAUGUGUUGCCAGUCUCCAUCACCUCCUUUUGUGAUGAGAUUACACCAUCUGGCCAGCUGCUACUCACAACAAGCAACAGGUAGCAUGCAGGCUUCUCCCCGUCUGGGCGUGUGUUCACCAUGUGAAGCUAGCUUCCUGCUAUGAGUGUGUGUUCACCAGGGUCAUAUUCAUUAGUGUACACUGUAGCAAAAUGGAAAACAAAAACAAGUGUUUCUCAUUGGACAAGUCCAGGUAGUCCCCCCCUAUUUCAGUCCGUUUUCUUCAGUUUGGUGCUAGUGAACACCACCCAUGUGUAGCCUCCACUAUAACCACUCCCCGACUGCUAUGAGUGACAGUGAAAUGCUUCUCAACUCCUUGAUCCUGUCGGAGCAGAAGGCAGCAUUUGCCUUCAUAGGGAUGUUGCUGCUGGUCCUGGGCCUGCUCAUAGUCCGGUGUUUCAGGAUCCUUCUCGACCCCUACAGUAGCAUGCCCUCCUCCAACUGGUCUGACGGGAUAGAGGGGCUGGAGAAAGGGACAUUUGAAUACGCACUGACCUAACAUAGAAGGAUACACACAUCACAUCACAUACAUAGAUUGCAGAGGCACGUAUGCACGUACACAAGCAUGCACACAGGAACGAGUAUGCAUUCAUGCACGCAGAAAACAGACGCACACACCACAGACACAUUAGAUCGCACCCAGACCCUGAAAACUGGAAUGAAUUAACUGAAGUUGAAGCUGUUUCUGUGAGCUUUUACUGAAACUGUCCAGCUCAUUGUCUUAGGUCGGCGUGUCUUUCGUCGUUCGAGGGACUACAGCGUCACGUAGGACUGACGCCACCUAUGGAAAGCCAUUGCUUUCCACAUGGGUAACAUGUGAGUUGGUAUUGAGCCUGGUUAGAGAGGCCACAGAGAACCAUGCCGGUGGCAAGAUGGAGGUCUCAGGGAAAACCACCCAUCUAGUGAUUCAUUUGGAGAAUGAUGAGAACGGACUAAUCCUGAUCCUGAUUCAGACAGGAGUAAUAUGGAGGAGAGGAUCCCAUCUUUCACAUGGCUCUGCUCUACACAACACAACAAUGUACGGAUGGAAACAGGGUAAUACAAGGAUACCAUACCAGAGCUAAUCAACCAUCAAAGUGCUGUCUGCCUGUCAUCCUAAUGGAUUGCUGUGUAGUUCAUUUAGGACGGUCCUAUAGAACAAGAUUGUUAUAUUACAGUAAGACUGAUAUUGACUGACCAACAUUGUUCUCAGUUUCAAACUGAUGAUGUUAAUAAUGUUGAUGAUGAUGGCGAAGAUGAGAAGGAGGAUGAUGAUGAUGAUAAUGUUAAUGAUGAUGAUGAUAACAUUGAUGAUGAUGAUGGUGAUGAUAACAUUGAUGAUGAUAAUUAGGAUAACGUUGAUGAUGAUGAUAAUGUUAAUGAUGAUGCUGAUGAUAAUGAUGGUGGUGGCGAUGAUGAUAAUAAUAAUGAUGAUGAUAACAUUGAUGACGAUAAUGAUAAUGAUGGUAAUGAUGAUGACUAGUGCAUUACAUGUGUGUCAUGUUGUUUUGUAAACCUACUGACCUCGCAGAGAGAUACUAUGUCUGAACUGUGAUAUAUCUGGACAUGGUGUACGGAACUGUUACUAAUCAAUGCAACAAUGGUCUUCAGAGUGAAUACUGUAUGUAUGUACUGUUGAUGAGAGAAGAGAAGAGAAGAGAAGAGAAGAGAAGAGAAGAGAAGAGAAGAGAAGAGAAGAGAAGAGGCUGUCAUCUCUGAGACAAAGGUUUUUAACGUUGGGAGAGUCUGUCACUGGCUGUCUGCUGAGGGAAAGGUUACUGGGAAAAUGAUGGCAGAGGAGUGUUUAUCCACACUGCACACGCCUCACCCCUCCUCACCCAUCCUCCCCUGCACAGGAGUCCCUCUCUCACCCCUCCUCACCCCUCCUCCCUUGCACAAGACUACCUCUCUCACCCCUCCUCACGCUUCCUACCCCCUCCUUCCUCUCCUUUAUCUACUCACCCUUCCUCCUCCUCACCCAUACUCACUCCUCCACACUAUCCUCCUCACUCUUCCUCACUCCUCCUAACCCCUAGGAAUGGAGGAGAGAGGCCUCACCCAGACAGAAACAGAAUGUUCAUCUCAGAAUGUUCAUCUCAGUGCUGUGAAUCUGCCUUACUGUGACCUAUGGGUUUACGUGCCUUUGUUUAGAAAUAUUUGCCCAUGUGUGUGUGUCUACAUGCUUCUGUGUGUAUCUGUGUGUGCACGCACGUGUGUGUGUGUGUGAUCAUGCGUGUAUGAGUGUGUGUGUCAUGAUGACUGAUGACGAUGUAUCUACUCACCUGUUGCUCAGAGCCAGAGGAGGAGACAACUCAUUGUUGUUGGAAUAAAUCACGUCAAAUAAAAACUACUUUAUUUAAACAAAUUAAUUAUUAAUGCUUCCUGUGUCUACAAAAUAUAUGAUAAAACAAUUCACACAUCUAUUCAAUCACUUGUAAUCUUGAAUACUAACGUUGAAGUGAUUGAUGUAUUACUGAUAUAUGGACUAAAACGGAUACCACAAUGGCCCUCAAAGAACUUCACUGGACUUUAUGCAAACUGGAAACCACAUAUCCUGAGACUGCAUUUAUUGUAGCUGGGGAGUUUAACAAAGCAAAUAUGAGGAAAAGGCUCCUGAAAUCCUAUCAACAUAUUGAUUGUUGUACUCGCGCUGCUAAAACCCUUGACCGUUUCUAUACUACUUUCCAGAAAGCAUAUAAGGCCCUCCCCCGCCCUCCAUUUGGCAAAUCGGACCACGAUUCCAUCUUGCUUCUCCCCGCCUAUAGGCAGAUACUCAAACAGGAAGCACCCGUGGUGAGGACUAUUCAACGCUGGUCUGACCAAUCGGAAUCCACGCUUCAAGAUUGUUUUGAUCGCGUGGACUGGGAUAUGUUCAGAGUAGCUUCAGAAAAUAAUAUCGACACAUAUACCGAUACGGUGAAUGAGUUUAUGUAUUACUGAUAUAUAGCUCUCGCCAGUUCGUACAACACUAUUGUUUCCAAGAUGGCGUAGCAGUCAGACUUCUUUGUCUUGUC